GACGAACGCUGGCGGCGUGCUUAACACAUGCAAUUCGAACGGAAAGGCCCUGCUUUUGUGGGGUGCUCGAGUGGCGAACGGGUGAGUAACACGUGAGUAACCUGCCCUUGACUUUGGGAUAACUUCAGGAAACUGGGGCUAAUACCGGAUAUGAGCUCCUGCUGCAUGGUGGGGGUUGGAAAGUUUCGGCGGUUGGGGAUGGACUCGCGGCUUAUCAGCUUGUUGGUGGGGUAGUGGCUUACCAAGGCUUUGACGGGUAGCCGGCCUGAGAGGGUGACCGGCCACAUUGGGACUGAGAUACGGCCCAGACUCCUAAGGGAGGAAGCAGUGGGGAAUAUUGCACAAUGGGCGGAAGCCUGAUGCAGCAACGCCGCGUGCGGGAUGACGGCCUUCGGGUUGUAAACCGCUUUCGCCUGUGACGAAGCGUGAGUGACGGUAAUGGGUAAAGAAGCACCGGCUAACUAAGUG
rnacentral:rRNA from 1 species